GACGAACGCUGGCGGCGUGCCUAAUACAUGCAAGUUGAGCGAUGAAGCUUGGUGCUUGCACCAAUUUGAAGAGCGGCGAACGGGUGAGUAACGCGUGGGGAAUCUGCCUUUGAGCGGGGGACAACAUUUGGAAACGAAUGCUAAUACCGCAUAAUAACUUUAAACAUAAGUUUUAAGUUUGAAAGAUGCAAUUGCAUCACUCAAAGAUGAUCCCGCGUUGUAUUAGCUAGUUGGUGAGGUAAAGGCUCACCAAGGCGAUGAUACAUAGCCGACCUGAGAGGGUGAUCGGCCACAUUGGGACUGAGACACGGCCCAAACUCCUACGGGAGGCAGCAGUAGGGAAUCUUCGGCAAUGGACGAAAGUCUGACCGAGCAAUGCCGCGUGAGUGAAGAAGGUUUUCGGAUCGUAAAACUCUGUUGGUAGAGAAGAACGUUGGUGAGAGUGGAAAGCUCAUCAAGUGACGGUAACUACCCAGAAAGGGACGGCUAACUACGUG
rnacentral:rRNA from 1 species